UGAAAACAAUAAUUCAUCACUUAAAUGUUUCGAUAGUGGUGCUCUGGCUUCAAGUGAGGGGCAUGAGCAGUCAGCAGAAGGUGCAGCAGAACUCAGUAUCCUUCAGUGUCCCUGAGGGUGCCAUGGCCUCUCUCACCAGCACUUUCAGCAAUCAUAAUACUGAUUACUUCUGGUGGUACAAACAGUAUCCUGGGAAAAGCCCCAAGGCUCUGAUGACCAUCAUCUCCAAUGGUGAAAAGGAAGAAGGAAGAUUUACAAUUCACCUCAAUAAAGCCAGCCUGCAUAUAUCCCUGUACAUCAGAGACUCGCAGCCCAGUGACUCAGCUGUCGACCUGUGUGCAGUAGAAGACCUAAGGGUGAACAGCCUGCAAGGAGAAGAGAAUCCUUGGGCCUUGAGCAUCCAGGAGGGUGAAAACGUCACUGUGAACUACAGUUAUAAACAUCCAUAG